CAUGAAAAUAAAUUAAUGCGUUGAAUUGAAACAUAAAAAUGAACACCAGUCAUCUAAUAUAAGGAAAUAUUUAUCAUUCAUAUAUUGAAUAAAGGGUUUGUAAAAAGGAAUACCUAGAAAGCUCUGUUGAUUAAAUAAAAAUGAGGUAAUUAGAAAGAAAGACAUGUAUAUAAACACAAAAGUCUCAGAAAGAAUUCUGAAUGCCAGGACUUACAUGUAAAAAUGAACUGAAUACACAUAACAGCACCAGCAAUAGAAAAAUGCAAAUUAAAAGAGUAGUAAAAUGUUAUUUUAAAAUGUUAAAAUCCAACAUAUCAAAAUGUUAAAUCCAACAUAUUCAAUUACUAGUGAAAAAAGAAUUGAGGGCUGGGGAUUUAGCUCAGCAGCAAAAGUGCCUGCCUGGCAAGCGCAAGGUCGUGAGUUCGGUUCCCGGUACCAGAGAAAAACCAAAAAAAAAAAAAAAGAAAAAAGAAAAAAGAAUUGAAACUUUGCAGAUGAGAUAAAAUUUAUAACCUUUUGGAAAGCAAUGCUCAGUAUUUAGUAAGUUUGAAAUUGUAUGUAGUUCAUAGACCAAGAACCCUCAAUCAAGAGGGCUCUGCCAGACGUAUGCAGAGACUACUUACAGCGAAGUCUUUCGCAGCACGUUUGUAACAAAAUAAUAUUCCUUCUGAAGCUGGAGGGGGAUGCAGAAAGGACUCUGGAUGGCGGCUUCUGGGACAGCCCGUGCGGAGCUAAAUCCUGACACUAAGCACGUGAAAGCACUUGUGUGCCGCCCAGAACGCCACUCAUCAAGAAGAGGUGGUCCAGGUACACGUCCCAUCUCCAGCCUGCCCUUGCCAGCACCUCCACCGCUUGGUUUCUUUUCACACCGGUGUUUCUGAGAGCUGUUAGGGGAAGAGAAAUAAAAAAUACUGAUGCUUUAUGGUGCUGCUUACUUACCUAAUAUAACAUAAUCUCAGUGGCGGACCCUGGGCAUUGUUAUUUUUGUUUUUCUUUGUUUUUGUUUACAUUUUCAGAUGAUUCAAAUGUAAGAUAAAGAGGAACAUAACUGAUUAUAAUCAAGAAUUAGCCUUGAAGAUCGUGUUUGAAAUCAAUUUCAAUGAAACACAGGGCUUCCCGUAGAGAGGAGAGGAUAAUUAUGACAGAAUGCACAACUCCGCUAGCAAAGAGAAAUGGAUUCUGUACGCACACCCGCCUGCUUCUCAUUGCUGUCUGGGUUUUCUUUCUAACUGUAAGAUAAAUCUUUGGUUCCUAUUGCUGCCAUUAUGUUGCUGAUCUCCCUUGUAUGGUAUUAUUCCCGGAGUUCUUAUUCAUUGCUUGCUUCUUCUGUAACUCUUUAUUUUGCUUUAUUCGACUCUUCUCUUGCUGCAUUUUGAUUACCAUCUAUAUCUCACUGAAUCUUGACUCCAAAUAGAAUAGUCCUCCGUACUUGACACCUUCUACUUCUGCUAUUCUUUUCAACAUAACACUGUUACCUUGUGUCUUAACUACUAGACUUUCUCUUUUCACUGAAAUUUAAUACUCAAUAUUAAUAUAGUAUCUUAUUGGUUUUGUUCUACAGCAGCUACUGAAUGCUGUAGUUGUGCAAUUUAUAUCUAACAGAACUAUUGUUAUUUUUAUCUACUCAGGUAAUUAUUUUCAUUUUUAAAAUUCAGAGCCAUGACAUUACUCCUAACUAUACUCCCGCUAUUUUAAUGUGCUUAUAUGAUACACAUAAAAUGACUGAAGUUAAAAAUAUGUCUCAAUAAAUGUGGCUUUUGUUCAUAAUGUACUGGAAUCCAGGAUUAUUUAUUUGUUUUAAUCACUGGUGAGAGUGCUAAUGAUUAUGAUUCCGACUUUAUCUCAUGGACUGGCCUCUCCUCUACUCUCUGUGUAACAAUAGUCUCUAGUAGGUAUAAGGACUACCAAGUAAAUUGUUAUAGAAAGAUGUUUAUCUGUUAUCUCAGAGGAACAGACAGAAAAUUUACACAUAAUUAUACUAGAAUGAUUCGACAACCUGACCAGGGUAAAUUUUCCGAAAUGAGAGCAGUUAUUUCUCAAAUUGGUAUUCUAC
rnacentral:lncRNA from 1 species